rnacentral:lncRNA from 1 species
UUAUGCGCGGUGAAUAUCCUUUUCCGCAGGUGAAUAUGCUUAUUUAUUCAAAAUCCCAUUCAUAUAGAAAAACCUACUAAAGUUUUAUCAAUAUGGAAUAAUUUAAAUUAUUGCCUCUUAGAUUUAAUUUUAUGUCAGUGAAUUAUUUUAAUUUCAGACUAAACUCAAUUUCAGCUAUGUAAUAUUAAUAUUUGGUAACAAUUUGUUAUGUAGAUAUUUUACAAUUACUGUCUUUUGAUGAGGUAAAUGUGUGGUUUUAUUCACUUGGGAAAAACUGAUAUUCAUUGAGGCGAUCGGCCGAAGUGAAUAUCGGUUUUUCAAAAGUCAAUAAAACCACAUAUUUACCGUAACAAAAGACAGUAAUUGUUUUAUUCUAUGUUGGGAGAGAAAUGUAUGCAAAGGAAAAUAUAUACCAAAAUCAAUUUUACAUCAAACGUUUUUUUUACCUAAGUUAUACACGUAAAAGCAUGCAACGUUUUGCGCGGUGAAUAUACUUUUCUGCAGGUGAAUAUGAUUAUUUAUUCAAAACCCUAUUCGUAUAGAAAAACCUACUUAAGUUUUAGCAAUAUGGAAUAAUAGUAGUUUCCUAUCAAGAUUAAUUAUUGAAUACUUUCAGAUGAAAAUUAUUUUGUGAAACUUCAUUCAAAAGAAUUGUUGAUUUGCUCUAUAACGAUCAGAUAUGGUUUAAUGGGGUGGUUUACUUUGUAAGUCAUUGCAUUUAGCAAACAGCCAAAGAAAGGCAUAGACAUAAAAGUUGGACAUGAUCAAACGAUAUUGUUUUAAUUAAAUAUUGAGAUUUGUGGUCUAUUUAUUUAUAUUUAUUAUAAUGUCCAUGAUGGACGCUUUAAAUUUCAUCGUAUUAUAUAUAUACCGGAAUCUCCACGCUCAUUAGUUGAUCUGAAAAUCAUUCCAUGAUAAUCAUAUUUAUACUACAAGCUGGUCUUGUAGCUCGUUGUAUUUUUAGUUUGAUCUCUUUAAUGGCCCUGAUGAAGUCAUAUCUCAGUUAUUAUAUAAUUUUUGCUGCUUUAACCAUAUCAAUAACCGAUUCAAGAUCAGGAAACCCCAAAAAAAUAUUUGAAUUGAUUUUGGACAUACAAAAUUGUAAAACAGUUUUUUUCCCACAUAUAACCUAAAUUCAUAAAAAAAAAAUCAAGGAAACAAAAAACUGCAUCUUUCUCCCUUAAAAUAUGUGAUGUAUAUAAAAACACUAUUUCAAACAAAUUGAAUUAGAAUGUGCUAUUAGGACAACAAUAAAAAGAACCUUCAAACAAGUUAAAUUUUUAGAUUUCAAUAUUAAGAUGAGAUAUUAAUUAUAAGGAUGAAGAUUUCAAAGGCCAGAACUUUAACUUGUAUCAGGGAUUUACAUCAUUAUCUAGUCUAAACUAUUAUUUUUCAUUCUAUAAUUUCAUCUGUAGAAUAGCUCAUUUGACCAUUGAAUGUUUAUUUAGAUAUGAUGCCAUACACAGAUGAGAGUUAUUGUUAAAUGUAGAGUAUCACUAGUAUUGAAAUUCAUAUGUCCUGAAUUUAUACACAAUAAUCUCGUAAAAUGUUUCUACUUUCAUUUUGAAAGUUUGACUUCCUUUACAUUUCAAACAUUGAUUUUGUAUUUACUGUUUGAAAAUUAUUGGCUAUUUUCUGGAAGCUUUUGUAAAACAAUUUGCAUAUUUUAAUGUAACAGUUCAUCUUCUGUCUUGUUAAAUCUUAGUAUAAAACUUAUACCCUACACAAAGUAAUGUCAUUGUUUUUUUCCUGUAUCUGUAAGAAAGAGUAAUGUAUGUGCAUUCCAAAUUUGCUUUCAGACCAAUAUUUUCUUUCUAGUAUUUCUUGUUCGAUUUUCCCUUAAUGGUUUUGCAUUUUAUUUCAAAUGCUUAAUGCACUAAUUGAAAUUUAAAGAUAUUAUAUUCCUUUUGAAAUUAUUGUAAUUCUCAUCCUGUUUUUUUAUAGCUGAUAAGGACAGAUAUUCCUGUCUUGCCCAAUCGCCUGGGUAAAAACACAUAUCUGCAUUUUUCUAUCAACAUUUGAAGGGUUUUGAAUUCAACUUGUUCAUUACAAUAUUAAUGCAAAUUAAAAAUAAAUGAACUGCUAGACAUCCUUUAGUCUACCUUAACAAUUGUUAUCUUCUGAUCUGUAAGGUUAUAUUUUACCAAAUCUUGAAAACUGUUACAGUUGAUAUGUCAGCUAUACUUCUUUUCUAAGUCGAUAUAUUACUGAAUCAAAGUUUAGCUACAUUUUGAUAUAAUUUAAUGCCUUUAUGUUUGUAAGCUUUAAAUAUGUAUAAUAAAUCAUCAAAGGAAUAAUACAGUGAAGUGAACGCAAAAUAUUUAAUAUUAGAUACCUGUCUUAAUUUUUUUAUGGCACUUAUUUUUCUGAUAUUUAAACUUUAACUAUAGAAAAGUGAUUGUCAAGGCUGACUGAUCAUAAAAUUGAUUUUGACAAUCAUGUGAUAUUGAAAAGUGGGUAAAAGUUCAAUUUACAUUUAUUUUUAAAAAGUUUGAGUUGUCAGUGUUUUUUUCCCCUUGAUUAAUCUUUAUAAGAUUUGCUUAUAGAAGACAAAAACAAUCAAUUAUAUUUAAAUUCCUCUUAUAUAUAUGAUUUAUUCAAAUAAUUUACAAAAAGUAACUUUAUGGUAAGUAUAUAGCAGCUGACAGUAUUAAAACUAAAUGUAUUGAUGUAGUUUACUUAAAACUAGACCUUCCAUCAUAAAAGAAUCUUUGAGAAAUCGAUCACUGUAUCAUUCCUUUGUGCAUCCCUGUGAUACCGGAGUUGGUACUACAUCAUUUACACCUUACUGUUGUAUUGUAUUGUUGUUAUUUUGUGCAAUAAAAUAACCUCUCAUUUAAUAGUGUUUUGUUUUAUUAUAAUUGAAA